CGGAGGAGGGGAGAGGACCUAGUCUGAGGCUAGAGCAUAAGCAUGCCACCACCUGUAAUUUCUGUAAUCCAGAUGCCAGCAGUCCACAUAUAAGGAUGAGCAGAAAUCUGGUGCUCAGCAGCUGGAAAACACGCCAAGGUUCAGUGCUCCAAAGGCAAAAUAAUUUUUCUUACUUAUUUUGAGUGGUAUGAGUAACUUCUUCACUUUCCACAAAUGAUAUAGGAGUAAAUCUG
rnacentral:lncRNA from 12 species